GGAACAGGACAUGAAAGAAACUUUUCUGAAAGCCCCUCAUACCAGCUUUUCCAAUACUGUUCCGUUUCUACCAGUUUUGCUCGGUAAGUAUAGCAUUUCUUUGAAUCAUCGUAUGUAAGUGUAGAGGGAAUUGAUACACGGGCAGAGUCAACAUUCCUCAAUGAACCUCCUUUUACACUCCAUUCAAUCGCUUUCUCAAUGCUAGGAAAAUGUUGCAUCCUGUCAGAUAAGAUUUUUUGCAUAUGAAUCAAUGAAGCCAUGGCAGUUCCCUCCACAACAUCCACAACUACUA
rnacentral:misc_RNA from 1 species